GUGACUGCGUACCUUUUGUAUAAUGGGUCAGCGACUUAUAUUCUGUAGCAAGGUUAACCGAAUAGGGGAGCCGAAGGGAAACCGAGUCUUAACUGGGCGUUAAGUUGCAGGGUAUAGACCCGAAACCCGGUGAUCUAGCCAUGGGCAGGUUGAAGGUUGGGUAACACUAACUGGAGGACCGAACCGACUAAUGUUGAAAAAUUAGCGGAUGACUUGUGGCUGGGGGUGAAAGGCCAAUCAAACCGGGAGAUAGCUGGUUCUCCCCGAAAGCUAUUUAGGUAGCGCCUCGUGAAUUCAUCUCCGGGGGUAGAGCACUGUUUCGGCAAGGGGGUCAUCCCGACUUACCAACCCGAUGCAAACUGCGAAUACCGGAGAAUGUUAUCACGGGAGACACACGGCGGGUGCUAACGUCCGUCGUGAAGAGGGAAACAACCCAGACCGCCAGCUAAGGUCCCAAAGUCAUGGUUAAGUGGGAAACGAUGUGGGAAGGCCCAGACAGCCAGGAUGUUGGCUUAGAAGCAGCCAUCAUUUAAAGAAAGCGUAAUAGCUCACUGGUCGAGUCGGCCUGCGCGGAAGAUGUAACGGGGCUAAACCAUGCACCGAAGCUGCGGCAGCGACGCUUAUGCGUUGUUGGGUAGGGGAGCGUUCUGUAAGCCUGUGAAGGUGUACUGUGAGGUAUGCUGGAGGUAUCAGAAGUGCGAAUGCUGACAUAAGUAACGAUAAAGCGGGUGAAAAGCCCGCUCGCCGGAAGACCAAGGGUUCCUGUCCAACGUUAAUCGGGGCAGGGUGAGUCGACCCCUAAGGCGAGGCCGAAAGGCGUAGUCGAUGGGAAACAGGUUAAUAUUCCUGUACUUGGUGUUACUGCGAAGGGGGGACGGAGAAGGCUAUGUUGGCCGGGCGACGGUUGUCCCGGUUUAAGCGUGUAGGCUGGUUUUCCAGGCAAAUCCGGAAAAUCAAGGCUGAGGCGUGAUGACGAGGCACUACGGUGCUGAAGCAACAAAUGCCCUGCUUCCAGGAAAAGCCUCUAAGCAUCAGGUAACAUCAAAUCGUACCCCAAACCGACACAGGUGGUCAGGUAGAGAAUACCAAGGCGCUUGAGAGAACUCGGGUGAAGGAACUAGGCAAAAUGGUGCCGUAACUUCGGGAGAAGGCACGCUGAUAUGUAGGUGAAGUCCCUCGCGGAUGGAGCUGAAAUCAGUCGAAGAUACCAGCUGGCUGCAACUGUUUAUUAAAAACACAGCACUGUGCAAACACGAAAGUGGACGUAUACGGUGUGACGCCUGCCCGGUGCCGGAAGGUUAAUUGAUGGGGUCAGCGCAAGCGAAGCUCUUGAUCGAAGCCCCGGUAAACGGCGGCCGUAACUAUAACGGUCCUAAGGUAGCGAAAUUCCUUGUCGGGUAAGUUCCGACCUGCACGAAUGGCGUAAUGAUGGCCAGGCUGUCUCCACCCGAGACUCAGUGAAAUUGAACUCGCUGUGAAGAUGCAGUGUACCCGCGGCAAGACGGAAAGACCCCGUGAACCUUUACUAUAGCUUGACACUGAACAUUGAGCCUUGAUGUGUAGGAUAGGUGGGAGGCUUUGAAGUGUGGACGCCAGUCUGCAUGGAGCCGACCUUGAAAUACCACCCUUUAAUGUUUGAUGUUCUAACGUUGACCCGUAAUCCGGGUUGCGGACAGUGUCUGGUGGGUAGUUUGACUGGGGCGGUCUCCUCCUAAAGAGUAACGGAGGAGCACGAAGGUUGGCUAAUCCUGGUCGGACAUCAGGAGGUUAGUGCAAUGGCAUAAGCCAGCUUGACUGCGAGCGUGACGGCGCGAGCAGGUGCGAAAGCAGGUCAUAGUGAUCCGGUGGUUCUGAAUGGAAGGGCCAUCGCUCAACGGAUAAAAGGUACUCCGGGGAUAACAGGCUGAUACCGCCCAAGAGUUCAUAUCGACGGCGGUGUUUGGCACCUCGAUGUCGGCUCAUCACAUCCUGGGGCUGAAGUAGGUCCCAAGGGUAUGGCUGUUCGCCAUUUAAAGUGGUACGCGAGCUGGGUUUAGAACGUCGUGAGACAGUUCGGUCCCUAUCUGCCGUGGGCGCUGGAGAACUGAGGGGGGCUGCUCCUAGUACGAGAGGACCGGAGUGGACGCAUCACUGGUGUUCGGGUUGUCAUGCCAAUGGCACUGCCCGGUAGCUAAAUGCGGAAGAGAUAAGUGCUGAAAGCAUCUAAGCACGAAACUUGCCCCGAGAUGAGUUCUCCCUGACUCCUUGAGAGUCCUGAAGGAACGUUGAAGACGACGACGUUGAUAGGCCGGGUGUGUAAGCGCAGCGAUGCGUUGAGCUAACCGGUACUAAUGAACCGUGAGGCUUAACCUUACAACGCCGAAG
rnacentral:rRNA from 1 species